CACUUCAUCAUUGUGUGUGAGUACGCAAGCGUCUUGUAGUGUAUCUCCCUCGUUACAGCAUUUCUGUGCCACGAAAGUCAAAGUCUCGUUUUGUUCAUGUUUCAAGUUUUGCCACGUAGUUAUCGGACCUCGUUUCUGGAUUUUUGAACCUUGCCUUUUUGAUGUGUUUUUUGUGCUUCUGGGUUUCUGGACCUUGCCUUUUUGACACAUUUUUUUGUGGUUCUGCCUUUUUGUACUGCUUACCUGUGUAUGACCUCUGACAGAACUACACUACUCUGGAAAAUCAUGUCCCUGCCAUGGAGUCCUUCAGUUGGGUCGGAUCCAUUGCUGCAUACUCGUGACAGAAUGAACUGGCCAGAACAGACCCAGCAGGAAAAACCUAGUGUCGCCGGUCACUCUGCCGGUCUGCCUCCCAGCGCACUCAGCCUGCCGACCAAGCGUCACCUAUCUAAGUGGACUGUCGUUUUGUGCUCUCCUACCUUGUCACCUGCGCCAUCCCACGUGUUACAAUUAUCCUCCACGCCCAACCAGUUCACAGCCAUGUCUUUUUAGACUCAGAUUUUUCUGUUUUUGAGGAGGGCCUGGACUUAUGACCGCACUACCCGAUUCUGAUUUGGAUAGAUUCUCUUCCCCCCCCCCCCCCCCCCCUAUUUUUAGGCACAGUCAAUUUGUGUCACCCCACCACAUGUGCCUAAGCCCAAGUCCUUGUCCUCCAGCUUUUUCUGGGGAACCCAUUUGGCCAUUUAUCCGUGACCCCUAUGUGGUUGCCAGCGGAGGCGUCCAAGUAGAGCUCAGCUUUAUGCCUCGCGCUACACUCCAUCCAAGCUAAAUCCUCCAGUAAGUAAGCUUGUUCUUGUUUACCUUCCCAAGUCUAUGUGCACCCUGCUACUUUCGUAUCCACUCCUACGAUGGCAGCGGGCAGAGGAGGCACCUGCUGAUCCCAGCCGCCUCUUGCUCCUAUCUCUGUGGUGCCUGAACCCCAGGCACCUCUGGGUCAUGUCGCAGCAGCAGCGCCAGAACCCCAGCUUCCUCUUGCUCAGGUUGUUGAAGUGCCGGAACCCCAGCUGCCUCUUGCUCAUGUCUCAGCGUUGCCAGAACCCCAGCCGCAAAAUAACCCCUACUCAAUUUCUCUUCCCAUCUACUCCAUGGUAAAAAAUUCAAACCCUGCUCCUAAACUUCUUCCCUAAGUACCUUUCCACCUGCUCUCUUGGAUGGACACUAUAUCAACCUUUCUCCUAGUCGUCUCAACCAACUCCUGAGGUUUUCCUGUCAUAUUCCCAACAUUGAAAUAUAGGGCGGCACGGGGGCUCAGUUGGAAAGCAUUUGCCUCACAGUUCUGAGGUCCCGGGUUUGAGCUACCUGUGUGGAGUUUUACAUGUUCUCCAUGUGUCUACAUUCUCCGGGCACUCUGGUUUCCUCCCACAUGCAAAUUAAUUGGACACUCUAAAUUGCCCCAGGUGUGAUUGUGAGUGCCACUGUUGUCUGUCUCCAUGUGCCCUGCGAUUGGCUGGCAACCAGUUCAGGGUGUCCCCUGCAUCCUGCCCAUUGACAGCUGGGAUAGGCUCCACCACGCCCCGUGACCCUUGUGAGGAUAAGCGGAAAAGAAAAUUAGCAGAAUUUCCACCGAUCCGCUGCAGGUUAAUGCUGCCAGGGCUACGUGGCAGCUUUGGCCAACCUCUUCUCCCUCCUUUUCUUCUUGGACUUUGUUUCCACCAGGCAUACAAGAGACCCUAGUGACCAAGCAUGUCAAACUCAGUUUGGCUCUGGGGCCGGAUCUAGACUUUCAGUUAUCAGUCUACUUCCUGCUGCUGGCUCCUGAAACUUGGCAUCUUCUUGUCUUCACAGGUGCAUCGAUAUGUGUGAAAUCCCAAUUAGCAGCACAUUUAACUUUUUUUUUUUUAACUUUCUCUUUCAAGUGUUUGUUAAUCUUGGCGGUACUUUUGUUUUAUUAUUGUUUACAAAGAUAAGUCAUCCCAAACAUGGAUAGAACCUUUGCAACCAUUGCUGUUAAUUUGGGGUAACCUGGCACGAGAUAUUGAUAAAAUAUAUCCAAUUCCACGGACCCAAAAUUUAUCCUUCAUAGCGGAACGCACUGCAAGUCAAUAAACUCGAGUUUAAUAUCAGCUGGCAUAUUAGAAAUCUUCAUUGUAAAUGGUGAGUGGAAAAAAAGACAAAUUUGUUCUCAAGUUCACUGAAUACCUGAAACCUCUGCUCAAACUUAUGCAGCAAAUCUGUUAUGUUGUCUUUAUAUUUAUCCAAAUCCUUAUUGGGAUGGUCCAGUGCUUUCAUACGCACAGCUGUGGGACAAGAGAAAUGGUGCGGUGUCACCGUUGGGACACCUGUGACUCCCACAGUGACAGUUUCAUCUUGAAUGCACAUAUCCUGUCGUAAUAUUGAGUGACAACUCAGUUACAGCCCUGCAAUGUAGUGCAACUUGCUGAUUACAUACCAAGCACAUUGGUUUUGCAUUUACUUCUGUGAAUAAAUACUUCUCGGUCCAUUUCUCCUGUAAAACUCAGUGUCCACUUUUCUUCUUUUUUGACAGUGCCAUUUUGGGAAGGUUGUAUUGACCAAUAACUUGAGUAGUUGUGAAUAGUGAAGCAAGAUUUCUGGUUUAUUUUUACUAUAACACAUCACAUUGUUUAUUUUACUGUGACUGUGUGUCAGUGCCAGAUGUUUACAGAUUUACUGCCCUCUAGCAGCCAUAGGGUGCAUUCGUUUUGUAUUUAUUUAAAAAAAAAAUCAUAACUUUUGAUAGAAAUGAGCUAGAGACUUGAUUUUCUUUUAGACACACUGAGAUAUUUAUGCCGGGCCGGAUGAAAUCAUCCAAUGGGUAGGGUCCGGUGAAAGCUGGGACAUAUCCGGAUAUUGUGUGGAUUUAAAAAAAUUCUUUCACUUUUUUUUUUUUUUUUUUUUCAAUUAAUGUCCAAAAUAGUAGUAUUCAGAUUGGAGGAUUUAUUGUACAUAGAAAUUUUGGACAAAGUCCUCUAAGUCCCUUUAUACAUUUUGUAUCAAUUGGACUAACAGGAAGCUGCUCUCAAGACUGUCCAUCAUUCUAUUUGGUUACACUUGCACAAUAGCUUGCACUGCAAAAUAAGGCUUGGUUUUGCUGCAGAAGCUCUGUGACAGAAUUUUAUUUCAAACUGAGAAUGAUUUGACAGUGUGCCAAAAGAUCUGCCAAAAAAAUUGCUUUUAAUAGCGCUUGUUAAAAGAACAAACCCUACUUUGGAAGAAAACACUUGCAAUUACACUCACUGUAAAAAAUACUCUGAAUACAACAAAUUUACCCUGGGCAUGACUACUGGAAAAUCUAAAACAUGAAAUCACUCUUUGUUUUAAUUAGAUUGACAGUAGUAGUAGUGAUUAUCUGCAUAAACUCUUCUCGCCUUACUAGCAUGUACUGCAGUCUGAACAAGAAGACUAUACAAAGGUAGAUUUCAUGUUUCAUAUUUUAAUCUCUUUAGCAAGGCAAAUCUUUUUUGCUCAGAUUGCUGUACAUUACAUGCCAGCAAGGCAAGAAGUUUGUGCAGAUAAUCACUUCUGUUGUAUUACAAUUAAAACCAGGUACAUCUGCAGUGUAAAAAAAGAACCUGGUUAAAUACAUUUUGACUUAAAUGUAAAAGGAAGCCGUACAAAUCAGAGUAGUAAAAAAAAAAUACUGCAGCUCAUAAAGUUAAGAAUGAACCUUAAUUGACCCCUCCAUAGAAAUUGCGUCAUCCGCGUCACUGAUCAAUCAGAGGCCAGACAUCUGCAUAAACCACGCCCCUUUUUGGCACCCGCCGUUCCCUCAGACAUCGCAUGGUCCAGUAUAGCUUUUGGCGUUUUAUCGCGUAUUUGGGUUCUUUAACAAUAGAUAUGGCUAAGAGGUGUAGUCACGGACUUUGUAAUAGUGACGACAGGUAUCCUGAAAGGCUAGUGUGUGGAGUUCAAUUCGUACCCUUUCCAAAACCGAAGACCCAGUACAUCUAAUAUCAACCGGAACAGAAGACCGAGUACGAAAAGUCUUCGAUGGAUCAAACUUUGUGGAAGAUCGUAUGAUCAACUGAAUCCAUCUAAAAUCAACCGGAACAGAUAUUUUUGCACAAAGGUAAGCCCUAUAUUUGAUUUUCAAUACGUCUCAUAUAAAUGAAUUACAUAACAUAGCGAAGUGUGAAUGAUUGACACACUUGAUCUGUGUUGAGGGAUAUUUUGCAAUGAUCUGACUGCACAAACGUGUCUCUGUUCGGCGGCUCCCGAGCUAAGCAAAACUGGACUAGCGAGUCCUAAAAGUCUUCGACGUGCACCGAGAAACCAAGACUGAAGGAAGGAUGUUUGAGGACACUAAAGUAGUGAUUGUCGUACUCGGUCGGGACUUACGUAGGUUCGGCACUAAUUCAAGAAUAAUUAUUGAGGGGAGCGCGUGACGUUACACAAAGAAGACGAGAGAAACAACUCGUAAAUCAAGCCUCGCCUUCUUUUCCUUCAUACAGCGGUUCACAAACGGCUAUACAGAUACACAUAGAUUCUGCACCCAAGUGUGAUAUGUAACGUGAAAAUAGGAAACUGUCAAUGACGAAUUCGUUUUUGGGUUAUAAUGUAUUAUAUUAUGUGGCUUCUCGGUCUUCCUCUGACUCCGGAAAGAUCUCGCCCUGAUAAUGGUUUCUCCGUCGAUAUGCAUAAAAAUACCAUUGAAAUACCCCUCGCUGAAAUACUUGAAGCCCUGCUGUCUGCUUUUCAACGAUAUUUCACUAUUCGCUAAGAAUGUGAGUGAGAAAUUAGCUGGUAAAUCGGACAAUUUCG